rnacentral:rRNA from 1 species
UACGUAGGGUGCGAGCGUUAAUCGGAAUUACUGGGCGUAAAGCGUGCGCAGGCGGUUUUGUAAGUCAGAGGUGAAAUCCCCGGGCUUAACCUGGGAACUGCGUUUGAAACUACAAGGCUAGAGUGUGGCAGAGGGGGGUGGAAUUCCACGUGUAGCAGUGAAAUGCGUAGAGAUGUGGAGGAACACCGAUGGCGAAGGCAGCCCCCUGGGUUAACACUGACGCUCAGGCACGAAAGCGUGGGGAGCAAACAGG